AAUAAAGUAAGCUAAUUAAGCUGUUGGGUUCAUACCUCAAAAAUAGAUGUAAUAUUCUCUUUAUUA
rnacentral:tRNA from 1 species